rnacentral:rRNA from 1 species
CCCUUAGAUGUUCUGGGCCGCACACGCACUACACCGAAGGAGGCAGCGUGUACUCCUGGAUCGAAAGAUUUGGGUAACCCGCGAAUCUCCUUCGUGCUAGGGAUUGAGGUUUGCAAUUAUCCUUCAUGAACGAGGAAUUCCCAGUAAGUGCAAGUCAUAAGCUUGCGCUGACUACGUCCCUGCCCUUUGUACACACCGCCCGUCGCUACUACCGAUUGAAUGAUUUAGUGAGGACUUCGGACUGGGACCGAUGCGGCUUUCGGGCUGCGUCGGUAUUCUGGAAAGAUGUCCAAACUGUAUCAUUUAGAGGAAGUAAAAGUCGUAACA